UACAGAGGCCUCGAGCGUUAGGCGGAAUCACUGGGCUUAAAGCGUGUGUAGGCGGACUUCUAAGUACCUUGUGAAAUCCCACGGCUCACCCGUGGAACUGCUGGGUAUACUGGUCGUCUUGAGCCUUCUAGGGGCUACCGGAACAAAUGGUGGAGCGGUGAAAUGCGUAGAUAUCAUUUGGAACGCCAAUGGUGAAAACAGGUAGCUGGGGGAAGUGCUGACGCUGAGACACGAAAGCCAGGGGAGCGAACGGG
rnacentral:rRNA from 1 species